UCUCCGUUGGUGAACCAGCGGAGGGAUCAUUACAGAGUUGCAAAACUCCCAAACCAUUGUGAACGUUACCUAUCCCGUUGCUUCGGCGGGCGGCCCGGGCCCCGCGCCCGGCGCCCCCCGGCCCCCCGUGGGCGCCCGCCGGAGGUAAACCAAACCCUUGAAUUGCAUGGCCUCUCUGAGUCUUCUGUACUGAAUAUGUCAAAACUUUCAACAACGGAUCUCUUGGUUCUG
rnacentral:misc_RNA from 1 species